rnacentral:snRNA from 1 species
GUAAACCCGUAAGGCGCAAGGAAGCUG